rnacentral:rRNA from 1 species
UGGGGAAUAUUGGACAAUGGGCGCAAGCCUGAUCCAGCCAUGCCGCGUGAGUGACGAAGGUCUUCGGAUUGUAAAGCUCUUUUGGCGGGGACGAUAAUGACGGUACCCGCAGAAUAAGCCCCGGCUAACUUCGUGCCAGCAGCCGCGGUAAUACGAAGGGGGCUAGCGUUGUUCGGAAUUACUGGGCGUAAAGCGCACGUAGGCGGAUCAGCAAGUCAGGGGUGAAAUCCCGGGGCUCAACCUCGGAACUGCCUCUGAUACUGCUGGUCUGGAGUCCGGAAGAGGUGGGUGGAAUUCCUAGUGUAGAGGUGAAAUUCGCAGAUAUUAGGAAGAACACCGGUGGCGAAGGCGGCCCACUGGUCCGGUACUGACGCUGAGGUGCGAAAGCGUGGGGAGCAAACAGGAUUAGAUACCCCCGUAGUCCCUGAGCGGGCUGGCAAGGCGCAU